GCCCUCCUUACCCUGGUGGUGACGUCUGCCCUUCGACUUAGGUUCUCCCCCACUCCCUAGGGCUUGCUUCCUGGGAAGCAGGUUCUCCCCUACUCCCUAGAGCUUGCUUCCGAGGAAAAGGUUUGUAUCAGAGGGUAGAUGGAGAUCUGGGGCUGUGGGUGGGAUUGGGCUGCAAGAGGGAGGUGAAGGCAAGGUUCGGUGGAAGGGGAUGGUACGGGGGAGUCUGAGUCAAGACCUCUGUGAUGGCCGGCACUGGGCUCUGACCUCCUCUGAGGACACCGUGCGCCCUGGGACUUUGACACCCAGGGAAUCUGAGGGGCCCGAAUUGGGGGAAGGAGGGGAGCUUCCUGCUCAGGGGUGGUACCGCGCUUCAGGGAGGGUUCUCUUCUCUCUGCAGGUUCGCCCAGGCCCUGGAGUCUGGUUCCUGAAAAACACAGGUUCUCCCCCACUCCCUAGGGCUUGCUUCCUGGGAAACAGGUUCUCCCCUACUCCCUCGGGCUUGCUUCUUGGGAAACAGGUUCGCCCAGGCCCUGGAAUUUGGCCCCUGGGAAACACAGGACUUUAUUGGAGCGGGGAGCGAACCGGGAAAAGCUGGAAGUAGUCAAGAAUGAAAUGGACCGAUUGAAGAUGGACACCCUAGGAAUAAGUGAAUUGAAAUGGACCCGGGUUGGGCACUGCCAGUUGAGCGAGCAUGUCAUCUGCUACUCUGCUCGUGCUGAGGAGAGAAGAAAUGGCGUAGCGGUAAUUUUACUAAGACAGUUACUGGAUAUAAUGCUGUCAGUGACCGGUUGAUAUCCAUUAGGAGAACCACUCGACAUGACAGUACUUCAGGUGUACGCCCCAACACCAGAUGCAGAACAAGAAGAAAUGGGUUUUAUGAUGUAGAGAGAGCGAGAGUGAUAAAAGCUGCAAGUAGGAUGUGUUGAUUAUCCCAGGGGACUGGAAUGCAAACAUUGGUAGUGGAAUGGAAAUGCAGGUGGUUGGAAAAUAUGGCCUUGGAAACCGCGAUCAAGCCAGAGAUUGACUUAUUGAUUCCUGUGAAUCGAAUGACUUUUAUUGUCAACACCUUCUUUAACCAGCCUAAACAACUGUACACCUGGACUUCACCGUAUGGACUGUAUAGAAAUAAACUAUUAGUAGAAAGGGAUGGAGAAAUUCUGUUUUGGCCUCUAAAAUAUGGCCUGGAGCGGACUGUGGAACAGAUCGUAAGCUGUUAAUAUGUAAAGUCAGGCUAAAACUUAGCUCAUUACUGCCUUAUUGUAAUAAUAAUACAAUUAUUAAUACAAUACAAUUAAUACAAUACAAUUGUAUUAAUACAAUUAUUUACAUGACGUUGGGCAAGUCACUUCACUUCUCUGGGCCUCAGUUCCCCCACCUGUAAAAUGGGGAUUAAGACUGAGCCUUAGGUGGAACGGGGGCUGUGUCUGACCCCAUUAUCUUGCAUCUCCCCCAGUGCUUAGAACAGUGCCUGGCACAUGGUAAAUGCUCAACAAAUCCCAUAAUUAUUAUUAUUACAAUGAGAGCCCAAUAUUGUAAUAGUUAUUACAGUGAGGGCCCGAGUGGGCCCUGACGGAUAUUCUUUUUGCAAUAAAGACUAACACUACUUUUGUCUGUUGUUUUGGGGGAGCAGCUGGUGGGGGCUGGGGAGGAAAGUUGAAAGAGAAGGGAACUGGGGGUGCCCACCUCCUCCAAGAGGCCUUCCCAGACUGAGCCCUCUCUCUCUGCCCCUCCCCAUUCCCCCUACUCCUUCCCCUCCCUGCGGCACUUGUGUAUAUUUGUAUAUAUUAUUUAUUACUCUAUUAAUGAUGUGUAUAUAUGUAGAGAAGCAGUGUGGCUCAGUGGGAAGAGUCCGGGCUUGGGAGUCAGAGGUCAUAGGUUUUAAUCCCGAUUUCCCCACUGUCUACUGUGUGACCUCGGGCAAGUCACUGUACUUCUCUGUGCCUCAGCUCCCUCAUCUGGAAACUGGGGAUGAAGACUGUGAGACCCAUGUGGGACAACCUGCUUACCUUAUAUCUACCCCAACGCUUAGAACAGCAUUUGUCACAUAGUAAGCACUUAACAAGUACCAUCAUUAUUAUCUAUGAUUCUAUUUAUCUAUUUUGAUGGUAUUGAUGCCUACUUGUUUUGCUGUCUCCCCCUUUUGGGCUGUGAGUCCGUUGUUGGUCAGAGAUGGUCUCUAGGUGAUGCUGAAUUGGACUUUCCAAAUGCUUAGUACAGUGCUUGGUGCCCAGGAAGCACUCAAUAAAUACAAUUGAAUGAAUGAAUGCUCUGGACACAGUAAGUGGUCAAUAAAUACGAUUGAAUGAAUGAAUGAAUGAAUGAAUGAAUGAAUGACUGCUCGACACAGUAAGUGGUCAAUACGAUUGAAUGAGUGAAUGCUCUGGACACAGUAAGCGUCAGUACAUACGACUGAAUUAAUGAAUGAAUGCUCUGGACACAAAGUGCUCAAUAUGAUUGAAUGAAUGCCCUGGACACAGUAAGGACUCAAUAAAUAUGAUUGAAUGCUCUGGACACAGUAAGAGUUCAAUAAAUACGUUUAACUGAAUGAAUACUCUGGACACAGUAAACGCUCAAUAAAGACGAAUGAAUGCUCUGGAAACCGUAAACGCUCAAUAAAUAUGAAUGAAUGCUCUGGACACAGUAAAUGCUCAAUAAAUAUGAAUGAAUAUUCUGGACACAGCGCUCAAUAAAUAUGAACGAAUGAAUGCUCUGGACAUAGUAAACGCUCAAUAAAUCUGAAUGAAAGCUCUGGACACAAUAAACCCUCAAUAAAUAUGAAUGAAUGCCCUGGACACAGUAAGAGCUCAAUAAAUACGAUUAACUGAAUGAAUACUCUGGACACAGUAAAUGCUCAAUAAAGGCGAAUGAAUGAAUGAAGGCUCUGGACACAGUCAACGCUCAAUAAAUAGGAAUGAAUGAAGGCUCUGGACACAGUCAACGCUCAAUAAAUAGGAAUGAAUGCUCUGGGCACAGUCAACGCUCAAU
rnacentral:lncRNA from 1 species